rnacentral:misc_RNA from 1 species
CCAAUAGCGUAUAUUUAAGUUGUUGCAGUUAAAAAGCUCGUAGUUGAAUUUCGGGAUCAGUAGGUCGGUCGUGCCACUGGUAUGAACUGGUCUCACUGGUUCCUCCCUCUUGACGAACUGCAAUGCUAUUAAUUUAGUGUUGUAGGAAAUCAGGACUGUUACUUUGAAAAAAUUAGAGUGUUUAAAGCAGGCUUUGGCUUGAAUACAUUAGCAUGGAAUAAUGAAAUAGGACGUUCGAUCCUAUUUUGUUGGCUUCUAGGAUUGACGUAAUGAUUAAUAGGGACAGUUGGGGGCAUUAGUAUUCAAUUGUCAGAGGUGAAAUUCUUGGAUUUAUUGAAGACUAACUACUGCGAAAGCAUUUGCCAAGGAUGUUUUCAUUAAUCAAGAACGAAAGUUAGGGGAUCGAAGACGAUCAGAUACCGUCGUAGUCUUAACCAUAAACUAUGCCGACUAGGGAUCGGAUGAUGUUAAUUUUUUAAUGACUCAUUCGGCGCCUUACG